ACAGUUAAUAAAGUAACAAUACAUUGUUUGCCAACAAGCGCAUAUGGCCUUAUGAGGUUGCCAUCAAAGCAAGGAAUAUAACUUAUUGUUGUAAAAGCAAUCUAAAAGUUUUAGUUCAUGAAACUAACAUUAGCAUUGCAUUGUGGAAAGAAAUAUUUCAGUUGUACAAAUUGCAAAUUUAGUGAGUUAAAAGAGACCAAUCAAUUAGGUUGAUAAAUUUACAAUACAGCUUCUCCCGUGUCAAUAAGCAGUGCCGCCAUUCACCAAACGAGCAUAUCCUCUUCAAAAGAAUAAAAAUAUUGGAUAAAUAACUAUUUUUAUCCAUGAAUAUAUAAUUUAUUGAUAAAUAUAUUUUAAAAGAUAAAAAUAUAAAAUUUAAUUCCUGAAGGUGUAAAAAAAUACAAAAAAUAUAUUAUAUUGUUAAUUUUCAUCCACCAUUUAUAAAAUAACUUACAUGGUAUAGAAGGACGAAUUUAUUACUAAAAUGAUUGUCAAUAUGACUUGCUAAUUAGAUUGAACAAAAAUGUCAAUAAAAUAUCAUUUUUGGAUGUAAAUGUCAGUAAUUUUUUGUUGGAAGAAAAUGUCAAUAUUUUUUUAUUGGAGAAAAAUGUCAAUAAUUUUUUUUGACCUAAAUGUCAAUACGUUCCAUUGGACCAAAAAUGUUAAUAAGUUAUCAUUAUUAGACGAAAAUAUCAAUAAUUUUUUAUUGAACCUAAAUAUUAGUAUAUUUCUAUUGGAUUAAUUUGUUAGACCCAAAACUUCAUUUAAGGGUAAAAUAUAGUUUUAUGAUAAAUUUUUGUCAUUUUUUAUCGUUACAAGCAUAACAUUAUAAUAAUCAUUUAACAAAUAUAUUGACAAACAUAAUUUAAAACAAACAUAAUAAUAAUAAUAAUAAUAAUAAUAAUAAUAAUAAUAAUAUUGAUUAUUAACCAUAAUUUGUCUGUCACAAUAAAAAUUAUCCAAAAUAAACAUUGUACCGGUUUACCAAAAUAAAACAUUGUAACAGUAUACCAAUCAUUAUAAAUUUUUCCAAAUUACCCUAAAAGAUAAAUAUAUCCCAUAUUUCACUUCUUCGAAUCUUGGUUAUUUUUAUUAAUGAUGACGGACGGAAGUUAAUGACCAAAUAUAUUUGUCAUACUUUUUACACUUUAGAUUAAAUUUUAUAUUUUCAUCUUUUAAGGACGCAUUCAAAGAUAAUUACACAUUCAAAGAUAAAAGUGGAUAUUUGCCCAUUCAUAUGCCUAAAGAGUAGAAAGACGAAAAGUUAAGAAAAUAUUAUAUGACAAAUAUAUUCCUAUAUUGGUAAUUAGAAAUGAUCAUGUUAACAAUUCAGUGACAAAUUCGUUUUUCUGUGUCACGUAGGCUAUUUUAUUAACGGUGACGGACUAAAGUUAACGGUAAGAUAUAUUUAUCGUACGUUUUACACUUUCAGGACUAAAUUUUUUACUUUCAACUUUUAGGGAUGUAUUUAUCAAUAAAUUAUAUAUUUAGGGACAAAAUUGACUAUUUACCAAAAAUAUUUAUUAACUUUUUUAAUCAUAGUAUUGAUAUUAAGUUUGAACAUACAUAUGGAAGUAAUUUCUUUUCAUUAUUUCGUUCAAAAACCACCCGAAUCUUAUGCCAACGUUGAUUUUAUCAUUUUAAAAAAAUAGUAAAAUAAGAAUGUUAGCGAAUCAUUACGGUUUGAACAAGGUUUGGCUUUGGAGGUACAAAAUAAUAAUUUAUCCCAACACCUAGAAAAAAAAAUAAUAAGUAAAAGAUAUACCACAUUAAUUUUAAUUUGACUAAAUUCUUAUUUUCGUCCACUAAAAGGCAAACAUUGUCGCUUUAUUUUUUAAUAUUUUUAAAAAAUAUAUAUUUCGAUUUAAUACUCCAAUAAUAGUAUAAUACAAAGUCUACUUAAUUUAAUUUCUUGAUUAUAUCAAAUUUCAUGAAAUUAAUUCGUUAAUUAGUGUUUCGUUACAUUCGUGUAUCUCAAUUCAAUGAAAGAAAAUCAAUUUUGAAAAAUAAAAAUAAAACUAACCAAAUAUGCAAGAAUAAUUUAAUUUGAAUAAAUGAUUAUUUCGUUUUUUUAAAUAAAUCAAUUUAAACACGACUAAGUCCUUCAAAUUAACAUCACUGUGAAGGUUCAAUCACGGCAUAAGUUAUUCAAGCUAGUCCACGUCCAAGCAAAACACAUUUUGUGUAAAAAUGUAAACAAAUGUUUAUGAAAUAUAAAUAUGUAAAUAACUUGUAAAAUUAAUUUUUAUGUAUUAUUAUUGUAAAAAAAAUUAAUCAAUUAAAAAUCAUUAUUAUUAUUAUAUUUUAAAUAAUUAUUAUAAGUUUAUAAGUAUAAAACCUUUUGCACAAUCGGUGUCAUGUUAUUAGUACUAUUUUGACUAAAGUAUAAUUUUUAUUUUCCUAUUUUUUUAAUUUGCAAAUUUAAUCUACAUAUUUUUUAAAUGAGAUUUUAUUUUUUAUUUUAAAAAAAUUACAAUUUAAUAUCCUAUUUUUUAGUUGAGACAUUUUAUUCUUAUGUUUUGAAAACCUGUUAUUUUAAUUCUUUUGGUCAAUUUUAGACCGGUUGAUAGUAUAUUUUUUUGUAUUUUUAAUAAAUUAAGUUUAUUAAUAAUUAAAUAAUUUUUAAAAAAUAUUUAUCAUGUGCAUAAUAAAUAAACACUCGCCGAUCAACAUUUACAUAGUACAUAAAUUAAUGUUUAAAAUUAGGCACAUGAACUAAAAUUACUAAAUUUUUAAAAUGAGAAACAAAAUAUCUUAAUUAAAAAUAGAGACUAAAAUGGUACACUUUUAAAAAGUGAUGAUAAAAUAUCUCAAUUAAAAAAAAAUUAAAAACACAAAUUAAAAAAAUGAGAAAACAAAAAUUGCAUUUUAAUUUAUAAUUUUUUUAUAAACUUCUAUACUUCUACCACCAAAGAAAAAAUUAGUCAACUCGCAAAAAAUGUAAUGUAUGUCGUGUCAUUUAUAUACAAAUUAUUAAUUAAAUAAAAAGUUAACAAAUUCCGGUUCUCCGCAAAACGCCGGUCACGUAUCACUCGGGGAAUAGACUUGGUAAUCAAACACUAUUAAAAAAAAUAGUAAAAUAAUAAAUAAAUAAAAUAAAAAAAGCUACUAGUAGCAAGUACGAGUAAGAAACUAGACCACAAACAUUCAAUGAACCAAUAAUGAUCUACCCAAAAUGCAAGAAACCAAUAAUGUGGUCUAGUUUCUUACAUCAAUUAAUCAUUAUUAUCUUAUCUUAAAUAUCUAAACCAAAGUCAACACCCUUCUAAUUACAAACCAUUAAAAUUUCAUCAAAACCAUUAACCAUUUCUCUUUCCCCUACCAUUAUCUUAAUGUUUGUUCACCAGCGCAUGCUAAAAAAAAAAACACAUUUUUCUUCAUCAGAAAUAAAAAAAUAAAUCAUUUAAUAUUUAUUUUUAAGUAAUUAAAAACAUUUAAUAAGAUGCACUUAAUACCCUCAAAUUCAUUUAUGAACACACAUUAAAAAACUUUUUUUUUCUCUCAUCACAACAAGUAUUAGGUAUCACAGUUACUUUUUUUUUCUGAUUUUUUUCUAUUUUGAUCAAUUAACUAAGUAACUAACAAACAAACCAUUUUAAAAUUAAUAGAUAAUAAUAGCAAUAAUAAGAAGAAACACCUAAAAAGGUAUUGUAAUCCCGCAAACCCUUUUCCUUAUCCAACUUGUUUAACAAAACAAAGCUGUUCCUCCGUCUUUUUUCCAUCAACCCAAGUAACUAAAUUUCUUUGACCCUCUCUUGCUUCUCUCUCUAAAUUCUUACACCCUCUCUCUCUCUUCCUUUUUCUCUUAUUCCCAUUUUUCCAAUUCUCUCACGUUGAGAAACCCUCACUAAGCAACCUUUUUUACUCUUUCUAUAUUUGUUUUUGCAAGAACAAGACAAAGCUUCUCCCUUUAAAUUAUCCGUCAGAUCCCCCCUCUCUAUUUCUCUUUCUCUCUCACAACGACACCAUUGCUUGGGUGCAUAAUAAUAUAAAAGUCCAAAACGGUAUCGUAUUUUAAAUAAAACGUAAUAAAUGAGGUGUAAGAAACACUUACCGGACCUCACCAGCACCAUCGGCGUGUGCGCUUCGUGCCUCCGCGAACGCCUCCAGCCUCUCCUCGCAGCCCAGGCCCAAGCCCAGGCCCAAUCAGAACGUUCCACCACCAAUUCCAACGUGGAUAAUAAUCAUCGUCGAAGAAAGCCC
rnacentral:lncRNA from 1 species